CCUACGGGGAGCAGCAGUGAGGAAUAUUGGUCAAUGGACGAGAGUCUGAACCAGCCAAGUAGCGUGAAGGAUGACUGCACUAUGGGUUGUAAACUUCUUUUAUAUGGGAAUAAAAUGUUCCACGUGUGGGAUUUUGUAUGUACCAUAUGAAUAAGGAUCGGCUAACUCCGUGCCAGCAGCCGCGGUAAUACGGAGGAUCCGAGCGUUAUCCGGAUUUAUUGGGUUUAAAGGGAGCGUAAGUGGAUUGUUAAGUCAGUUGUGAAAGUUUGCGGCUCAACCGUAAAAUUGCAGUUGAAACUGGCAGUCUUGAGUACAGUAGAGGUAGGCGGAAUUCGUGGUGUAGCGGUGAAAUGCUUAGAUAUCACGAAGAACUCCGAUUGCGAAGGCAGUUCACUGGACUGCAACUGACACUGAGGCUCGAAAGUGUGGGUAUCAAACAGGAUUAGAUACCCGGGUAGUC
rnacentral:rRNA from 1 species